AUUGAACGCUGGCGGAAUGCUUUACACAUGCAAGUCGAACGGUAGAGGGGGCAACCCCUUGAGAGUGGCGAACGGGUGAGUAAUAUAUCGGAACGUGCCCAGUCGUGGGGAUAACGUAGCGAAAGUUACGCUAAUACCGCAUACGAUCUAAGGAUGAAAGCGGGGGAUCGCAAGACCUCGCGCGAUUGGAGCGGCCGAUAUCAGAUUAGGUAGUUGGUGGGGUAAAGGCUCACCAAGCCAACGAUCCAUAGCUGGUUUGAGAGGAUGAUCAGCCACACUGGGACUGAGACACGGCCCAGACUCCUACGGGAGGCAGCAGUGGGGAAUCUUAGACAAUGGGGGAAACCCUGAUCUAGCCAUGCCGCGUGAUCGAUGAAGGCCUUAGGGUUGUAAAGAUCUUUCAGUGGGGAAGAUAAUGACGGUACCCACAGAAGAAG
rnacentral:rRNA from 1 species